rnacentral:rRNA from 1 species
AUGGCCAGCCUGUCCAUCACGGUGAUGACGCUGAACCUGCACGAGGGGAAUCAACCGAGCGAGAGCCCUAACAGCUGGGAGAAGCGCCGCGACAUCUGCGUUAGCGUCAUCACCAGUUACUCCCCCACCAUCCUCUGCACCCAGCAAGGGUUGAGGUGCCAGCUGGACUACCUACAGCAGUGCCUGCCUGGUUAUGAGCAAUUUGGCAUUUCAAGAAAAGGUUCACAGGACACCACUGAUGAAUAUUGCACAAUAUUCUACGAAAAGGAGAAGGUGGAGCUUACAGAAGGUGGCACCUUCUGGUUAUCAGAAUCUCCAUCAGUGCCAGGAAGCAUUUCAUGGGGAGCUACUGCACCAUGCAUUGCUACAUGGGCAACGUUUCAACUCAAAAGAGUAGAACAACCUGGGUUCAGUUUCCAGAUUGUAAAUACAAAUCUUGAUGAAGAUAGCCCUCGUGCUCGUAGACGAAGUGCUUUGCUUACGUGGCAGCAUAUAGCUUCUUUGCCACCCAACUUGCCUGUGAUCUAUUGUGGGGGCUUCAACACACAAAAGGAAUCUAUGACGGGACGUUUUUUGCUCGGCAGAUCUAGGGAACAUGGUGUUGUGGGUGAUAUGAGAGAUGCUUGGCCAAAUGCUCGUGUGCGCAAAAAUGUUUCACUGAUACACACAUAUCAUGGAUUUAAAGGGGAAAAACAAGGUGCGGUAGAAUUCCUAAAAUUAGUAUUCAGAGCUCUUUGUCUCUGCUGGGACAGACAAACUCAGGACUUGCAUAUUGACUGGAUACUGUUUAGAGGACGCCCACUGGUUCCUGCACUAUGCGAAGUCAUAAAUGACAAUAUAGAUGGUGUUUAUCCAUCAUCACAUUUUCCCAUCUUUGCUGAGUUUUUACUUCCACGCACAGUUCGCCUAGCCGAGAUGCCUUCAUAG